rnacentral:rRNA from 1 species
UCGAGGAUCUUCGGCAAUGGGCGCAAGCCUGACCGAGCGACGCCGCGUGCGCGAAGAAGGCCUUCGGGUUGUAAAGCGCUGUCGAGGGGGAGAAAGCCCGCAAGGGUUGAUCGACCCCUGGAGGAAGCACGGGCUAAGUUCGUGCCAGCAGCCGCGGUAAGACGAACCGUGCGAACGUUGUUCGGAUUCACUGGGCUUAAAGGGCGCGUAGGCGGGCGACCAAGUCGGUGGUGAAAUCUUUCGGCCCAACCGGAAAACCGCCUCCGAUACUGGUCGUCUCGAGGGGGAUAGGGGCAUGCGGAACUUCGGGUGGAGCGGUGAAAUGCGUAGAUAUCCGAAGGAACGCCGGUGGCGAAAGCGGCGUGCUGGAUCCCUUCUGACGCUGAGGCGCGAAAGCCAGGGGAGCGAACGGGAUUAGAUACCCCCGUAGUCC